AUAAAUGAGCGGUAAGACCGAUACAGGUUGUUCUGUGUGUUCCCUUCCAUAGGUUGGCCACAGCACAGACGUUUAGGCCUGUUAGGCACGCUCUUUUU
rnacentral:sRNA from 12 species